rnacentral:rRNA from 1 species
AACGAACGCUGGCGGCAUGCCUAACACAUGCAAGUCGAACGAGACCUUCGGGUCUAGUGGCGCACGGGUGCGUAACGCGUGGGAACCUGCCCUUAGGUUCGGAAUAACUCCCCGAAAGGGGUGCUAAUACCGGAUAAUGUCUUCGGACCAAAGAUUUCUCGCCUUUGGAUGGGCCCGCGUUGGAUUGGCUAGUUGGUAGUGUAAAAGCCUACCAAGGCGACGAUCCAUGGCUGGUCUGAGAGGAUGACCAGCUGCACUGGGACUGAGACACGGCCCAGACUCGUACGGGAGGCAGCAGUGGAGAAUAUUGGACAAUGAGCGAAGGCCUGGUCCAGCCAUGCCGCGUGAGUGAGCAAGGCCUUAGGGUUGUAAAGCUCUUUUAGCCGGGAUGAUAAUGACAGUACCGGGAGAAGAAGCACCGGCUAACUCCGUG